GAGUAACCUGCCCCUGAUUUCGGGAUAAGUCCUGGGAAACCGGGUCUAAUACCGGAUACGACCAACCCUCGCAUGAGGGUUGGUGGAAAGUUUUUCGAUCGGGGAUGGGCUCGCGGCCUAUCAGCUUGUUGGUGGGGUAAUGGCCCACCAAGGCGACGACGGGUAGCCGGCCUGAGAGGGCGACCGGCCACACUGGGACUGAGACACGGCCCAGACUCCUACGGGAGGCAGCAGUGGGGAAUAUUGCACAAUGGGGGAAACCCUGAUGCAGCGACGCAGCGUGCGGGAUGACGGCCUUCGGGUUGUAAACCGCUUUCAGCAGGGAAGAAGCGAAAGUGACGGUACCUGCAGAAGAAGUACCGGCUAACUACGUGCCAGCAGCCGCGGUAAUACGUAGGGUACGAGCGUUGUCCGGAAUUAUUGGGCGUAAAGAGCUCGUAGGUGGUUGGUCACGUCUGCUGUGGAAAACGCAACGCUUAACGUUGCGCGUGCAGUGGGUACGGGCUGACUAGAGUGCAGUAGGGGAGUCUGGAAAUUCCUGGUGUAGCGGUGAAUGCGCAGAUAUCAGGAGGAACACCGGUGGCGAAGGCGGGACUCUGGGCUGUUAUCUGACACUGAAGGAGCGAAAGCAUGGGGGAGCGAACAGGAUU
rnacentral:rRNA from 1 species